rnacentral:rRNA from 1 species
AGUAAAAGUCGUAACAAGGUCUCCGUAGGUGAACCUGCGGAGGGAUCAUUACUGAGUGAGGGCCUUCGGGCUCGACCUCCAACCCUUUGUGAACACAACUUGUUGCUUCGGGGGCGACCCUGCCGUUUCGACGGCGAGCGCCCCCGGAGGCCUUCAAACACUGCAUCUUUGCGUCGGAGUUUAAGUAAAUUAAACAAAACUUUCAACAACGGAUCUCUUGGUUCUGGCAUCGAUGAAGAACGCAGCGAAAUGCGAUAAGUAAUGUGAAUUGCAGAAUUCAGUGAAUCAUCGAAUCUUUGAACGCACAUUGCGCCCCUUGGUAUUCCGAGGGGCAUGCCUGUUCGAGCGUCAUUUCACCACUCAAGCCUCGCUUGGUAUUGGGCGCCGCGGUGUUCCGCGCGCCUCAAAGUCUCCGGCUGAGCUGUCCGUCUCUAAGCGUUGUGAUUUCAUUAAUCGCUUCGGAGCGCGGGCGGUCGCGGCCGUUAAAUCUUUCACAAGGUUGACCUCGGAUCAGGUAGGGAUACCCGCUGAACUUAAGCAUAUC